UAAAACUUUCAACAACGGAUCUCUUGGUUCCGGCAUCGAUGAAGAACGCAGCGAAAUGCGAUAACUAAUGUGAAUUGCAGAAUUCAGUGAAUCAUCGAGUCUUUGAACGCACAUUGCGCCCCCUGGUAUUCCGGGGGGCAUGCCUGUCCGAGCGUCAUU
rnacentral:rRNA from 1 species